rnacentral:rRNA from 1 species
UGGAGAAUCCCGUGAACCAUCGAGUCUCUGAACGCAAGUUGCGCCUGAAGCCAUUAACCCGAUGGCGCACCUGCCUGGACGUCACACGCCGUUGCCCCCCGGCAUCUCUCUUGGAAGUGUCGGUGGGCAAAUGAUGUCUUUCAGUGCAUCACCACGCGUGAUUGGCACAAAUGUUUAGUCCUUGGCAACGAACGCCACGACAAUAAUUGGUUGUCAAACCUCAGUUGCCUGUUGUGCACUUUCACUGAGCUCUGGGCGGUUUACGAUGCUCACUGCUCUGCUUCGACGGAGCCUUNUCCAGGUUAGGCAGGGUUACCCGCUAAAUUUAA